CAAUGUGUGUACACUUAUGAUAACCUGAUGCCUUGUUUUUCAUGCAGGUAAGAAGGGACAUCCGCGCAAAUCAAAAAGCUCGAAAGAUGUAUAUAUGCGGCCUCAGUAUACUGGGAUGUGGGUUAGGAAGAGCAGCGGCUAUAGAAAGUGUCCAAUCGAUUAUGGCUAUGACUACCAUAAACCAACUGAGUUUAUAGACUUUAUACGCCCUUGACAGGGCUUUUGCAGAGUUAGUGCUCCGUUAUGUGGAUGAAAAAUAGAGGUUAAAAGAUAGAAAUUUGCAUCUUUUUGGAUAGCUCUUUUACUUUCUUCACGUCUGCAUUAAUUA